rnacentral:rRNA from 1 species
UACCAGCACCCCGGAGUGGUCGGGACGUUUUAUUGGGCCUAAAGCAUCCGUAGCCGGUUCUACAAGUCUUCCGUUAAAUCCAACUGCUUAACAGGUGGGCUGCGGAAGAUACUAUAGAGCUAGGAGGCGGGAGAGGCAAGCGGUACUCGAUGGGUAGGGGUAAAAUCCGUUGAUCCAUUGAAGACCACCAGUGGCGAAGGCGGCUUGCCAGAACGCGCUCGACGGUGAGGGAUGAAAGCUGGGGGAGCAAACCGGG